rnacentral:rRNA from 1 species
UACGGGGGGGGCAAGCGUUGUUCGGAAUUACUGGGCGUAAAGGGCUCGUAGGCGGCCAACUAAGUCCGACGUGAAAUCCCCAGGCUUAACCUGGGAACUGCGUCGGAUACUGGAUGGCUUGAAUUCGGGAGAGGGAUGCAGAAUUCCAGGUGUAGCGGUGAAAUGCGUAGAUAUCUGGAGGAAUACCGGUGGCGAAGGCGGCAUCCUGGACCGACAUUGACGCUGAUGAGCGAAAGCCAGGGGAGCAAACGGG